rnacentral:rRNA from 1 species
GACGAACGCUGGCGGCGUGCCUAAUACAUGCAAGUAGAACGCAGUUGCGAACGGGUGAGUAACGGGUAGUUAACUUCCUCAUAGCGGGGGGUAACUAUUGGAAACGAUAGCUAAUACCGCAUACUGUGCGCUGGACCUGCGUUGUAUUAGCUAGUUGUUGAGGUAAAUGCUCACCAAGGCGACGAUACAUAGACGACCUGAGAGGGUGAACGGCCACAAUGGGACGGAGACACGGCCCAGACGCCGACGGGAGGCAGGAGUAGGGAAGAUUCGGAAAAGGACGGAAGGUGUAACGAGCAACCGCGCGUGAGUGAAGAAGGUUUUUGGAGCGUAAAGCUCUGGUGUUAGAGAAGCGGUAACUAACCAGAAAGGGACGGCUAACUACGUGCCAGCAGCCGCGGUAAUAC